GAAGCAGCCAUCAUUUAAAGAAAGCGUAAUAGCUCACUGGUCGAGUCGGCCUGCGCGGAAGAUGUAACGGGGCUAAACCAUGCACCGAAGCUGCGGCAGCGACACUAUGUGUUGUUGGGUAGGGGAGCGUUCUGUAAGCCGUUGAAGGUGUGCUGUGAGGCAUGCUGGAGGUAUCAGAAGUGCGAAUGCUGACAUAAGUAACGAUAAAGCGGGUGAAAAGCCCGCUCGCCGGAAGACCAAGGGUUC
rnacentral:rRNA from 1 species